GGAUUCACUAGUGAUUCAGGCCUAACACAUGCAAGUCGAACGGCAGCACGGGUGCUUGCACCUGGUGGCGAGUGGCGAACGGGUGAGUAAUACAUCGGAACGUACCUUAUCGUGGGGGAUAACGCAGCGAAAGCUGUGGUAAUACCGCAUACGCCCCGAGGGGGAAAGCGGGGGAUCGCAAGACCUCGCGCGAUUAGAGCGGCCGAUGCCUGAUUAGCUAGUUGGUGGGGUAAAAGCCCACCAAGGCGACGAUCAGUAGCUGGUCUGAGAGGACGAUCAGCCACACUGGGACUGAGACACGGCCCAGACUCCUACGGGAGGCAGCAGUGGGGAAUUUUGGACAAUGGGGGCAACCCUGAUCCAGAAAGGCCGCGUGAGUGAAGAAGGCCUUCGGG
rnacentral:rRNA from 1 species